CCGAGCCCCGCAACACCGCUCCCUGGGGCCUGCGGGUGCGCUGAGCCCACGCUCUCACACACCGUGUUUAUCUUUCAGAGAUCUGUUUCCAUUUUCGGUAAAGGAAGCAAGUGAAAAGAUUUCCAGGGAAGAAUAUUCAAAGGUAUUAGCUAUGGAGAUUUAUGCCCUGCUUACGACAGCCAACAGGGAUUUGGUGAAAUAAGCCUUACAGGAGGAUGCUAGAAGGAAUCUGUAGGUGCUGAGAAUGGUGGCUCUUCUGGACAGAAAUAUAUUUUGUGGGAAUCAUAUACGUAGACUGGAUUUUGUCCUUCCCUUUACUCAGAAGAGCACUUACUGAGGCUGAAGAAACAAUAUGCCUUAGGAAAAAGCAAAAGGAGAAGUGGUUGCUUUCUUCCCAACCCUGGCUUUGCAUGGAAGUGCCAUAAAACCAACGGCAGACAAGAGGGUUUAUAUUAAGGAGAUAUAAUUAAAAAGUGCACUCAGUUCUCAGUGCUUAUCUUCGGCCUCUGUGAGUAGCUCACUGUGUGGAGCAAGCAAUAAAAGCAAGGUAAUUUUUCUUUUUAAUAUUGCAAUAACUCUAAGCACUUUUAAGAGAAAAUCUGCUGACAAUUUUGAG